CCUACGGGUGGCAGCAGUGGGGAAUAUUGGACAAUGGGGGGAACCCUGAUCCAGCGACGCCGCGUGAGUGAAGAAGUAUUUCGGUAUGUAAAGCUCUAUCAGCAGAGAAGAAAAUGACGGUACCUGACUAAGAAGCCCCGGCUAACUACGUGCCAGCAGCCGCGGUAAUACGGAGGGGGCAAGCGUUAUCCGGAUUUACUGGGUGUAAAGGGAGCGUAGACGGUGCAGCAAGUCAGAUGUGAAAUGUCGGGGCAGAACCCCGGGACUGCAUUGGAAACUGUUGAACUGGAGUACAGGAGAGGUAAGUGGAAUUCCUGGUGUAGCGGUGAAAUGCGUAGAGAUUAGGAGGAAUACGCGUGGCGAAGGCGGCUUACUAGACUGUAACUGACGUUGAUGCUCGAAAGCGUGGGGAGCAAACAGGACUAGAUACCCUGGUAGUC
rnacentral:rRNA from 1 species